AUUGAACGCUGGCGGCAGGCCUAACACAUGCAAGUCGAACGGAGCGGCGGACGGGUUGGUAAUGCUUUGGAAUCUGCCUGGUAGUGGGGGAUAACGUCCGGAAACCGGCGCUAAUACCGCCUACUCUUAGAUGAGCCUCGGUCGGAUUAGCUAGUUGGUGGGGUAAAGGCCUACCAAGGCGACGAUCCGUAACUGGUCUGAGAGGAUGAACAGUCACACUGGAACUGAGACACGGUCCAGACUCCUACGGGAGGCAGCAGUGGGGAAUAUUGGACAAUGGGCGAAAGCCUGAUGCAGCCAUGCCGCGUGUGUGAAGAAGGUCUUCGGAUUGUAAAGCACUUUAAGUUGGGAGGCGUUACCAACAGAAUAAGCACCGGCUAACUCCGUGCCAGCAGCCGCGGUAAUAC
rnacentral:rRNA from 1 species